rnacentral:rRNA from 1 species
CAGCCCUAAACGAUGCGCGUUAGGUGUAUCGGUGACCACGAGUCACCGAGGUGCCGAAGGGAAACCGUGAAACGUGCCGCCUGGGAAGUACGGUCGCAAGGCUGAAACUUAAAGGAAUUGGCGGGGGAGCACAACAACGGGUGGAGCUUGCGGUUUAAUUGGAUUCAACGCCGGAAAUCUUACCGGGACCGACAGCAACAUGAAGGCCAGGCUGAAGACUUUGCCGGAUUAGCUGAGAGGAGGUGCAUGGCGUAGUCGUGU